GAUGAACGCUAGCUACAGGCUUAACACAUGCAAGUCGAGGGGAAACGACAUUGAAGCUUGCUUCGAUGGUCGUCGACCGGCGCACGGGUGAGUAACGCGUAUCCAACCUGCCUCUGACCAAGGGAUAACCCGUCGAAAGUCGGCCUAAUACCUUAUGCAGUCGUCGGAAGUCAUCUGAUGACGACGAAAGAUUUCAUCGGUGAGAGAUGGGGAUGCGUCUGAUUAGCUUGUUGGCGGGGUAACGGCCCACCAAGGCAACGAUCAGUAGGGGUUCUGAGAGGAAGGGCCCCCACAUUUGAACUGAGACCCGGUCCAAAAUGCAAAGGGAGGCAGGAGUGAGGAAUAUUGGUCAAUGGGCGAGAGCCUGAAACAGCCAAGUAGCGUGCAGGAUGACGGCCCUAUGGGUUGUAAACUGCUUUUAUGCGGGGAUAAAGUGAGGGACGUGUCCUUCAUUGCAGGUACCGCAUGAAUAAGGACCGGCUAAUUCCGUG
rnacentral:rRNA from 1 species